AAGGCGCCAGCUUGAGGCGCUGGUUCGAAAGAGCGUGGGUUCGAAUCCCACCGUAA
rnacentral:tRNA from 1 species